CGGUGGUCGGUGGUAGAGGACUACGUGGUCGGAGGAAAAGAAGAAGCGGAUGGCACGAUUGGAGGACGGCGUCGGACAUCUCGAUGGAGGGGCGGGGGGCCCAGCCGCGGUCGCCAGCGAGGUCCUUGGGGAUGGCGCCGCACAUCACGUCGUUGAAGUCGUCCGUCAGGUGGACCUGCUCCUGUAUCCGCCGCACCUCCACCCACACCUCCCGCACCAGCGAGGCGGCGGCGCCGGGGACAUACCUCGCGCUUGUGAAGGCUUCCCAAAGGGAAGCGUGGCGCUUGCGGUCGAGGAUCUC
rnacentral:lncRNA from 1 species